CAAUGAAGAAAUAUCAUAUUAUUUAAUAAAUGUUAGUGGAAUAGAAAAUUAAUGUCUCACAGCUUCACAAGAAAGCCAGAUACCAGUGAUAGAUAACACAUAGUAAUUAAUUCUAUUUUCUAAAUCUUCCAAUGUCCCAUUGUAAGCAAGGGGUGAAAUUAAGGUUAGGAGGUGUCAAAUUUAAAAAUACGAUCAAAGUCGCCACCACAAAGUCUGGGUAAGAGUGUAAACCAACGCUUUGAACUGGCAGCAAAUUUGAGUUAUACUACUCAUUAUAGAUAAGCCAAAUUAAGUCAGAAUCAUCAUCAAAAUGAGUUAACUCUUUCCGGGACAAGACAUUUUGGUGAUGUAAUUGCGCAACCUACUGACCAAAACGUAGAUCAUGCUGGAUAAGGUAGACACACCUUCAGCUCCCUAUUGGCCUUAUCAGAUAAUGACAUACAGAAAGUUUGGCCCUUUAAAAGUACGAACAAAGGGAAGAGAGGGGGAUUUAAGAGAAAUUCAAUACAUUCAGACAGAAAUCCAGGACAGAGAUUGAGGAUACACACUCUGGGACUUACACUCUCUCAAACUCUCUUUGACUCAACUUUCCAAACCAACACGACUUUCUCUAUUACAUGCACCCCCCCCACACAAUCAUCAAUCAUACUCGCAUUCAAAUUCCUGGGACUAUCUAAUCAUCUGAUGAGAACAUCUAUAUAACUGGUAAUUAUGCUGGUUUUAUUUAAUUAAUUUAAAUUAAUAAAAAAUUUACUAAUAGC